rnacentral:rRNA from 1 species
UACGUAGGGUGCGAGCGUUAAUCGGAAUUACUGGGCGUAAAGCGUGCGCAGGCGGUUAUGUAAGACAGAGGUGAAAUCCCCGGGCUCAACCUGGGAACUGCCUUUGUGACUGCAUGACUAGAGUACGGCAGAGGGGGAUGGAAUUCCGCGUGUAGCAGUGAAAUGCGUAGAUAUACGGAGGAACACCGAUGGCGAAGGCAAUCCCCUGGGCCUGUACUGACGCUCAUGCACGAAAGCUAGGGGAGCAAACAGG